GAAGAGGCAAAGGCCAUAAGGGGACAUGAUGAAAAUCUGUAAAUUUAUCAUGGAGAGGUUACUAACCAGAUUCCAAACUGCUAAUACAAGGAAAUAUCCUUUGAAAUGUGGGCAAGAUAAGUUUUUGUUAAAUGAAGAAGUUGAAUACCCAAGAGGUUAAAGACUUGUCUACAGUCCCACAUCUCUUAGAUCUGAUGGGUCCUGAUAUGAUGCCUUCAGCCUCCUCUCCCGCAGACUUCUGUGCUCCUACAGGCUCCUCCUUUGUACUAGACCACUUCGUUGCAGCUACAAGAGAAAACAAGAGAAAUCCAUAAACACAUUCUUUAAUAGGACUUGGAUUUCUAGAUUUCCACAUUGAAAACACAUAUGCCUAACAUUUAAGACUGACAUCACAGAAGACAACAUGCCUUUCCUAAGACAAUUUG
rnacentral:lncRNA from 1 species